AGAGUUUGAUCAUGGCUCAGAACGAACGCUGGCGGCAGGCUUAACACAUGCAAGUCGAGCGCCCCGCAAGGGGAGCGGCAGACGGGUGAGUAACGCGUGGGAAUCUACCCAUCCCUACGGAAUAGCUCCGGGAAACUGGGAUUAAUACCGUAUACGCCCUACGGGGGAAAGAUUUAUCGGGGAUGGAUGAGCCCGCGUUGGAUUAGCUAGUUGGUGGGGUAAAGGCCUACCAAGGCGACGAUCCAUAGCUGGUCUGAGAGGAUGAUCAGCCACAUUGGGACUGAGACACGGCCCAAACUCCUACGGGAGGCAGCAGUGGGGAAUAUUGGACAAUGGGGGCAACCCUGAUCCAGCCAUGCCGCGUGAGUGAUGAAGGCCUUAGGGUUGUAAAGCUCUUUCACCGGGGAAGAUAAUGACGGUACCCGGAGAAGAAGCCCCGGCUAACUUCGUGCCAGCAGCCGCG
rnacentral:rRNA from 1 species